UACGAAGGGGCUAGCGUUGCUCGGAAUCACUGGGCGUAAAGGGUGCGUAGGCGGGUCUUAAGUCAGGGGUGAAAUCCUGGAGCUCAACUCCAGAACUGCCUUUGAUACUGAGGAUCUUGAGUUCGGGAGAGGUGAGUGGAACUGCGAGUGUAGAGGUGAAAUUCGUAGAUAUUCGCAAGAACACCAGUGGCGAAGGCGGCUCACUGGCCCGAUACUGACGCUGAUGCACGAAAGCGUGGGGGAGCAAACAGG
rnacentral:rRNA from 1 species